rnacentral:tRNA from 5 species
UCCGAUGUGGUGUAGUGGCUAUCAUACUGCGCUUUCACCGCAGGGAUCGGGGUUCGAUUCCCCGCAUCGGAG